CCCCCAAUUCACCAAAAGGGAAAACUAGCUAGGGUUCAAAGUUCUAUGGAUAGAGUGUUCUUCAAACUCUCAUCAUUAGCAGGUAUGUGGAAUAAUAAAAAAUCGAUGGGGGUUUUAAUCUAUAUUCUUUUAAAACUUUUUAGUGUUUAAAUUAUGGGGUUCAAUUUAACUACAAGAACAUGUCUUCAAAUUCACACUUAUUCCUUAAUUAUGAAUUUUUGCUAAGUAUAUAUAUUAUAUUGUGAUUGGUGAAGAGAACGAAGUUUUUUUUUUGGCAAUGAACAGUGAAGUAUUACCAUACCAACAAAAUAAAAUCGAACAUACACUUAGGGAUCACUUACAACCCUACCUCUUCUAGUAAGGAAGUUAGACUGGGUGAGCCUUAAAGAUCUAUGUACAAGUACUGUCUUCUAAGUAUUUGACAUAUUUAGCUCUCUUGUCAUCUCUAUACCUAUUCAGUCUCUCCGUAAGAACAAAUUUGACUUGUUGUAUAAUCAUGCUGUGAGGUAUAGCCUGCUGUGUAAAGAUUUUCAAAUUCCUAGCUCUCCAAAUGUGAUAUAUGAAGGCCCCAUAAGCUACAACCAUCAUCUCUUUCUUUUUUUGCAUCAGUGUCUACGAUUGAUGUGCAAUAGAGUGUACUUUAUCCUUCCCUAAUAUAUCCUUAAUCCCAUCUGUUGUUGCACCAGGUUCCACAGAUCUUUUCUCCCUGAGCAUUUAAUAAACAAGUGUUUUGCAUCUUUCAAUACAUCUGUAUCACAUAAGCAACAAUCGGGGCUGUCACAAUGAAUUCCCAUACCACAUAAUCUGUCCUUUGUGAGUAGUUUUUCUUGUGCUGCUAACCACAUUAUAAAUCUUUAUUUGAGUAGGCUGAUACCAGUCCAUACCAAUGUUGCAAUAGGAUCACGCAAAACUGGGCCUAAUAAGGCUAAAUAGCUUUGCAUUGUUGAGUAUUUAGCAUUUGUUGUUAGACAAUAUUUUCCUCCUUGGUACCAGUCCCCCAUUUUCAAUUUGAGCUUGUGAAAGUUCCUCCAAUACCAGCUGCUAUCAGCUGGUGGUUGACAUGUCCAGAAAUUUACUCCAUUAUUCAUAUAAACACUAUGUAUCCAUUUUACCCACAAAAUAUCCUUCUUUUCCAUGAUCAACCAAAUAAAUUUUCCUACAAGUGCGAUAUUCCACAAUUUACAGCUACUAAUAUUCAAUCCUCCUUGAUAUUUGGGUCUGCAUAGUGUUUCCCAAGCUACCAGAUGAACCCUCUUGUUCUUCUCAUUACUCCCCCAUAAAAAAUCCCUACACAACUUAUCCACCUCCUUCAACACCUCCUGAGGAAAGAUGAAUACUGACCCCCAGAAGUUAUGUAUUAAAAAUAUUACAGACUGUAUAAGUUGUAUUCUCCCUGCGUAAGAUAAAUGCCUGGUAGAAGCUACUCUGAUUCUGCAAGUAAUUUUCAAACAUAGCUGAUGGCAUUCCAUUUUUGUCCACUUUUUAGGUGAUAAGGGAAGUCCCAGAUACCUAAUAGGAAAAGAUCCCACUGUAAACCCUAUAAUGUAAAUAAUUUUUUCCUUAACAGCAUCCUUGAUACCUGGCACAAAAAUGUUAGACUCGUCUAUAUUGGCAACAAGUCCAGUAAUAUUCAAAAAGUGGUUCAAGGCUUUCAUUAUUCUCCUAACUAAGGCCUCAUUGCCUUUACAAAAUAUCAUCAGAUCAUCGGCGAAGGUAAGAUGUGUCAACUUCAAUUCCUUGCACAUGGGAUGAUAUUUAAAGUUAGGCAAGUUUCUUAUUUUGUGAAGGAUUCUAGCAAGGUAUUCCAUAACCAACACAAACAACAAGGGGGAGAUGGUAUCUCCUUGUCGCAAACCUGUUCUACCCUCAAAAUAUCCAUAACUAUCUCCAUUUAAUUUAAUUGAAAACUUGGUUGUAGUCACACAUAGCAUAAUUAGUUGCCUAAACUUCUCAGGGUACCCAUAUCCGCAGAGCAUUUCCUUGAUGAAUUCCCAUGUAAUCAUAUCAUACGCCUUUCUUAAAUCGAUCUUCAUAAGACAUCUUGGACUUAUUUUCCUGUUGUACUGCCUCAAUAAGUUGUGGCACAUAAGGAUAUUAUAAAUCAAGGACCUGUCUUGGAUAAAUGCAGCUUGUGUGUCCUGUACUAAGGAUGGCAGUACAACUUUUAAUCUCUUGCAAAUUAUUUUAGACACACAUUUAUAGACUACGUUGAAACACACAAUGGGUAUAUAUUGACUAGGAUUGUUAGGACACUCCACCUUAGGUAUCAAAGUAAUACUUGUAGCAUUAAGUUGAUGUAUCAUCUUGCCAGUUCUGAACACCUCCAACACUAAAUCAGUUAUGAGGUCACCAGUUAUUGCCCAAGUACUUUGGAAAAAACCACUUCUAUAUCUAUCCAGCCAGGGCUGCUGUUUGGGUUAAUCCCAAACAUAGCUUCCUUGACAUCUUCCCUAGUAAAUCCCUGCAAUAAUUCCACCUGUUGUUCUACAGUUAAGGUAUGUCCAUAAGUCAAAAAACCUUCAGAAGCAAGCUUCCUUGGACCUCCAGUUUCUCCCAUCAUUGCAGAGUAGUAUCUCACAAAGACUUCAGCCACAUCCUUAAGAUCUGUCACCACCUUUUUAUUCUCAUCAGUUUUGCAUCACAAUUUGCAUCAAUCUCUUUUGCUUUAGAAUUGAGUAAAAAUAUUUGGUAUUGUCAUCACCAAGCUUCACCCAUUUAGCCUUGCUACUUUGCACCAGCAUCACUUCUGCAAGAUAGCUUGAUCUUUUAAAUUUCAGAUCAAUCUUUUCUUGACACUGUUUAAGCAUUUUUCUAUCUUUAUUUGCUUCAUUUAUCAUGUUACCGAAGUGGUGAGUGCAGACUCCUGAGUUUGUGUUUCAAGUACUUUAAUUUACCUAUAAUUUGAUACAUCUUACAUCCUAUACCAGGUUGCUGCCAACCACUUUUAACUAACCUCGUAAAGUCAGGAUGCAUGCUCCAAGCAUUACAGUAUUUGAAUGGUUUCCUUGUUCUUGUAUCUUGAGAAGCCAAUGUCAAGUAAGUAGGACUAUGAUCACUCAUCUCUCCAGCCAAAUAUUGUACUUUACAAGUAGGUGUGAUCUAACCACUCACUACUAGCAAAGGUACAGUCCAGUUUUGAAAAAAUUAUAUUUGUUGCAUGUCUAGCAUUCCAGGUGUAAUUACAGCCUAGUAUAGGUUGGUCAAUCAACCCACACCGAUCUACAAUUUCUUGGAAAUCCUUCAUCUCUGGGAUGGUCGCCGGGUUCCCACCUAUCCUGUUCUUCAUAUAUAGCACAACACUGAAAUCACUUGUGAUAAUCCAAGGCAGAGUAGUGCCUUAGAAUUAGGCUAGGUAAUUCCAUAGGUCCUACCUCUCUACUCUCUCAUUGUACCCAUACACUAUAGUAAGUAAAAACUGCGUAAAUACAAGUAUAUGCUCCACCUUGCAGGUUAAUGCUUGGGAAGAUUCACUACGUACUGUCACUUUGUAAUUAUUCUCCUUCCAUAAUAACUAAAUCCUCCUGUUGUAGUGGGAGGAAUGGUUUGUAAUGAACUUCCAACCUCCAAAGAUCUUAUCAGCCACCAUUUGUACUCUAUUUAAUUUUAUUUUAGUCUCUACAAGACCAACCAUUUCAGCUUUCAAAUCACCACAAAGGAGUUUCACCUCUUUCUAUUUUGAGAGGCCAUUAAGGCCUCUCACAUUCCAGCAUAGCAGCUUAACUAUCCCUCCAAGGGAUAGUAUUUUUCCCACCCCCAUGCUUGGCAGCAUUUUCCUACCUACUCUGACCUUUUUCUUCCCUGUUCAAACUUUGGAAAGUUUUAUCUACAUGUAUAGUAGUGGUAUGCACAACUUUAUUCUAGGAUGUUGAGCCAACAACCUUUUGGGUUUUUUUUAAUCCAUCAUUACUCGUCUUCAACAUCAAGUCUCCAGUGUCUUUAGGAGGUUGUACCUGAUGUUUUGGUUUUUUACAGAAUAUUUUACGCCUUUUUCUUAGUAUAAUUAUGUGUUUUCAAGUAGCCACUAUUGUAUUUAACAUGGUAUUUUAGUUCUUUCAGGAUAAGGACUGAGUGUGAAGGGUAACUAGGAGAAUCUGAGCAAAACAAAUUGUAAAAUAAACAGCGACGGCUUAGGUGAUGGACCGUUAACCUUGCGAUAAUUUGUCGGUUUAAAUUAUUGACCAA
rnacentral:lncRNA from 1 species